rnacentral:rRNA from 1 species
CGGACCCUUCGGGGUUAGUGGCGGACGGGUGAGUAACACGUGGGAACGUGCCUUUAGGUUCGGAAUAGCUCCUGGAAACGGGUGGUAAUGCCGAAUGUGCCCUUCGGGGGAAAGAUUUAUCGCCUUUAGAGCGGCCCGCGUCUGAUUAGCUAGUUGGUGAGGUAAUGGCUCACCAAGGCGACGAUCAGUAGCUGGUCUGAGAGGAUGACCAGCCACACUGGGACUGAGACACGGCCCAGACUCCUACGGGAGGCAGCAGUGGGGAAUCUUGCGCAAUGGGCGAAAGCCUGACGCAGCCAUGCCGCGUGAAUGAUGAAGGUCUUAGGAUUGUAAAAUUCUUUCACCGGGGACGAUAAUGACGGUACCCGGAGAAGAAGCCCCGGCUAACUUCGUGCCAGCAGCCGCGGUAAUACGAAGGGGGCUAGCGUUGCUCGGAAUUACUGGGCGUAAAGGGCGCGUAGGCGGAUCGUUAAGUCAGAGGUGAAAUCCCGGAGCUCAACUUCGGAACUGCCUUUGAUACUGGCGAUCUUGAGUAUGAGAGAGGUAUGUGGAACUCCGAGUGUAGAGGUGAAAUUCGUAGAUAUUCGGAAGAA